UUACAGGUAAUCAAAAGUGGUAAAUAUUGAUGGAAAUUCUGUUAACUGGCUGUUAUUUCCAAUUGAGAGUAUUCAUUUUUCUGGAAAUCAUAUCCUACUGAGUCACUACAAAGAUGGCCUCGAUGGCUUCUACUUCACUUACUCCCAUAAGCAUAACUGGUCCUAAGUGGGAUUUUUUCAUUUUGGUCAGACUUUGACCCUGAUUGCAACAAAAUCCGGAGGCAGAUAUUCACACCGGAGCGCCCCGCCUCCCCGCGUGUCAGAAGCCAUAUCGCCGCAAAUGCCUCACACACCUCGGAGCGCAGCUUGUGGAACUGAUGAGGGCAAUAUUCUCAAAAGUCGAUGUUACUGAUUGAUCUGAGAUCUCCUUUUACUUUCUAUGAGAAAAACCUACCACCAGCUGCCAAAAAAUUCCCAUAUUCAGGAGAGCAUGGCUGGGAGCCUUGUGAGUUUUCCUGAAGGUGUUGAAUGAGAAGGCCAUGGCCAUGAUCACUUCCUCAAUGGCGUCUUGCACUGAUUGUGUUUUAAGGCUCAUUAUGAAUUGCAGGCAUGGCAGGUAAGCAGUGCAACUAUGCAAGAAAUUCAACUGCCUGAAGCCCCUGUGCUAUAAAGGAGCCCAAGCCAUAUGAAAAGGCCAGGCUCUGCAGCCAACAGCCCCCAAGCUGACCUCCCGGCUGCCCGCCAUCUUGGAUAUCCAGUCUCGGUGAGCCUUCAGAUGACUGUGCUUUCAUCCUACUUCAAUUGCUUGAGAGACCUCAAAGCAGAACUGCUUGAGCCCAUCUCAAGCUCCUGAUAUACACAUUUUGAGGGGGAAAAUGGUGUAAUUGGGUCACUUUGUUAUGUAUGCAAUAGUACUCAGAAUACAAACUUAAAGCAAUGAACUUAGCAUACUGUGAACUCUUUAGGUUCAUUCCAUUUCCUUCUGCCUCAUUUUAACGGUUCAUAGCAUUUUUAUUGUAUGUAAAUAACGUACUAUUUUUAAAUUAAUCCCCCAGGGUUGAAUAUUAGCUUACUUUUUACCUUCUAGCUAAAACUUUUAGCUACAUCUUGGCACAUAUCUAUUGUUUCUUAAGAUAACUUACUAAAAUUCAACGAGCGGAAGUGCCAAAGUUAUUAUUUUUGGUGCUUUUAACAAAUACCUUCAAAUUAUCCCUUACCAGUAGAGUCUGCACACCUGUACACACACACACACACACACACACACACACGCACACACACAGAGAAUAGAGGAGAGAGCAUGGGUUUUAGAAUCAGCAGUCUUGAGUUUCACCUCACAGUUCUACAACUUGCACGACCUUGAAAAAUUACUUAAACUUUCUGAGCCUCGUUUUAACCACCUGUAAGCUGGAGGUAAUAAUACUAACCUCAAAGGAGUUUUUAUGAAAAUUAAUUGAAUUACAGGAUUUAAGUGCCAAGUACAGGGUGGCCAUUUAAAAUGGUAACUGUUGUUCUUGUAAUUCCUACCUGAGAGUGAAGGAAUCAUCUCUAGACUUCUUUUUCCCACUCCUCUCAACCUACUGGGUGAUUUUGCUUUCCUUCUGGUACUUAGCCUGGCUCCUGUCCUUGUAGGCCUUACACAUAGCCAGUUGAUCAAUCAUGUGAGUGGUAGCUGACAAAUGUUAAAGGUGUUACU